rnacentral:miRNA from 1 species
GAAAUGCCUACAUGAGAUCCAGCUGUAAGGCAUUUUCCCAAUUAGUGAUCAGUGGGGAUCCAGUCGAUGGUGGGUGGUACCAUCCUGGGCUGGUGGUCCUG